UAAUAAAAAAGAAAGAAAGCAUAAUAGAAUACGUCAUCGUGUCGCUUAACAAAGGUAUCCAUAGAUUCCAUACGUGCGCACAUCUUAUCAUUCCCUUUGGUCGUCUCCUUUUUCCAUUUCCUCAGGACACGUACGAGAAAGCACCUCGGAAAUAUCUAAAAUGGACAACCAACCUGGUUCCCAAAAAUCUUCGAUUAUUCCAGGAUCUGGGAAAGUCAACAAUUGGGCAGCCUCACCAUCGCAUCUAUGCUAUCACUUUGGUACAAGUGGGCUUUCUGUUGCGGUUGCCACUGGCGUCACCCAUCCUCUAGAUGUACUCAAAGUCAGGCUACAAAUGCAACUUGUUGGCCAGAGAGGUCCUCUAACAGGAAUGGGAAAUUUAUCAGUUCAUAUAUUGAAGAAUGAAGGACCAAGGUCUAUGUAUCUAGGAUUGGCACCUGCAUUGACAAGGUCGGUUGCUUAUGGUGGUCUUCGUUUAGGCUUGUAUGAGCCCUCGAAAUAUGUUUGUGAACAGGUUUUUGGGUCCACCAAUAUCUUUGUUAAGAUUGCAUCUGGAGCAUUUGCUGGUGGUUUUGCAACCACACUGACCAAUCCGGUUGAGGUUGUAAAGGUGCGGUUACAAAUGAACCCAAACUUGAGAAGAGGACCGAUUGGAGAACUGCGCAGAAUUGUUUCUGAGGAAGGAAUUAGAGCUCUGUGGAAGGGGGUUGGCCCUGCUAUGGUCAGGGCUGCUUCUAUGACUGCAUCACAGCUGUCAACAUAUGAUGAAUCCAAGCGGAUUUUGAUCAGGUGGUCACCACUUGAAGAAGGAUUUCAUCUUCAUCUCAUGCACUGUCAGCACCCUCAUAACUGCACCAAUGGACAUGAUUAAAACCCGUCUCAUGUUGCAACGAGAAUCUAAAGAAGUUGGGAACUACAAAAAUGGAUUUCACUGUGCAUAUCAGGUUUUGCGCACUGAAGGUCCCAGGGGACUUUACAAGGGGGGGCUUGCAAUAUUUGCAAGAUUGGGUCCACAGACUACGAUUACCUUCAUACUUGUUGAGAAGUUACGCAAGCUUGCUGGAUUAGAUGCAAUCUAGCCAUGGGAUUUGUCUUUUUGCAACUGCCAUCAUUUUCUUGCCGUAAUGGCUUUAUUGUAGCAUGGGGGGGGCAAACACCAUCAUUGCCAGAAAGUCCCAGUUAAGAGGGAAUUUAUUGUAGUAUUCAUAUCCAAAAUUUUUGGGGUGACUGAGAAAUGUCAUGCCAUUACAAAGGAACCAGAAAAUUCAUUUUGAGUUCCAGAGUUGCAGUGGUCUAGGAUUGAAUCACUGAUUUUGUUGUAAUAAUAAUAUACUUAAACCUGUCCCCACUUUUUUUUUCCCGGGGUCUCAGGCUAGAUUCAAUUGGAACAGAAUAUCCUUGUACUUUGAUGUUGUUUUACUAUCAUGGUUGUUGUAUUAAUAAAUGAUUGGUGACUUACUCAUUCUGACUUGAAUGAAAUCCAGCAAAGUUAGCCAAUCCUCAUUAUUUUUUCAA